UAGGGAAUUUUCGGCAAUGGGCGAAAGCCUGACCGAGCAACGCCGCGUGAGUGAUGACGGCCUUCGGGUUGUAAAGCUCUGUUGUAAGAAAAGAUAAACUAGUAGAGAAUAUUAGUUAGACAUUAUCUUACCAGAAAGCCACGGCUAACUACGUGCCAGCAGCCGCGGUAAUACGUAGGUGGCAAGCGUUGUCCGGAAUUAUUGGGCGUAAAGCGCGCGCAGGUGGUUUAGAAAGUCUGAUGUGAAAGCCCACGGCUCAACCGUGGAGGGUCAUUGGAAACUAAUAAACUUGAGUGCAGGAGAGAAAAGUGGAAUUCCUAGUGUAGCGGUGAAAUGCGUAGAGAUUAGGAGGAACACCGGUGGCGAAAGCGGCUUUUUGGCCUGCAACUGACACUGAGGCGCGAAAGCGUGGGGAGCAAACAGG
rnacentral:rRNA from 1 species